UGGGGAAUAUUGGACAAUGGGGGGAACCCUGAUCCAGCGAUGCCGCGUGUGUGAAGAAGGCCUGAGGGUUGUAAAGCACUUUCAGCGGGGAGGAGGAUUUAUUGGUUAAGAGCUGAUGAAUUGGACGUUACCUGCAGAAGAAGCACCGGCUAACUCCGUGCCAGCAGCCGCGGUAAUACGGAGGGUGCGAGCGUUAAUCGGAAUUACUGGGCGUAAAGGGUGCGCAGGUGGUUUAUAUAGUCAUGCGUAGAAGCCCUGGGCUCAACCUGGGAAUGUCGUGUGAUACUGAUAGACUGGAGUACGGGAGAGGGCAGUGGAAUUUCCGGUGUAGCGGUGAAAUGCGUAGAUAUCGGAAGGAACACCGGUGGCGAAGGCGGCUGCCUGGCCUGAUACUGACACUGAGGCACGAAAGCGUGGGGAGCAAACAG
rnacentral:rRNA from 1 species